UACAACUUUCAGCAAUGGAUGUCUAGGCUCCCACAACGAUGAAGAACGCAGCGAAAUGCGAUACGUAAUGCGAAUUGCAAGACCUCGUGAAUCAUUAAAAUUUCGAACGCACAUUGCGCUCUUAGGAUCUUCCUGAGAGCAUACCUGUCUGAGUG
rnacentral:rRNA from 1 species